rnacentral:rRNA from 1 species
UAACGGUCCUAAGGUAGCAAAUUUCCUUGUCGUCUUAAUAACGACCUGCAUGAAACAUAGAACGAUUUGAUAGCUGUCUUGCACACACAUCAUGGUAAAAUAUUCAUCAGUACAAAUAAUAUGCUGCUGACACUAAAGGACAAAAAGACCCUUUGAAGCUUUAUAGGGAUAAAACUCAGCUUUAAAUCAACAAACAAUGAAAUCCAUCUUGUUGCUUCUCCGCUUUUUAAAUUGCUAAAGCCUUACAAGAUUUACAACAUCAAGACCACUGUUUAAUUGGGGCGAUAACCUUAUCCACAGCCACCUAAGGUGAACAAAGCGAUACAAGGAUCCUAAAUACUAAUUUGACCAACUAAUAAGUGCAAAGAUACAUGUUUUGCUUAAUGGCCCAACAAGUCCUUCCCAGUACUUAAAUGCUAUCUUAAUGAGCUUUAAAUUA